GCAGGCAAUUGCGAUUGCAACUAGAAGGUAGGGGUGAGAGAGAGAGAGAGAGACAGAGAGAGAAUCUAGACCCUUGUGAGGCUCCUCGCUCUCUGGGCUGGGGCGUCGUUUGCAGACAGAAUCGAAACCUGCCCUUAGUCCACUCGCUCUCUGUGUAAUUUGUAAGCUUGUCUUCUAACUCUCUUUGUUUUUCUUUUUUCUGUGUGUUUAAUUGAUGGUCUUUUCUUGUGCCGUCAUCAUCACUUCAAUCUCUGGAAAGAUAAGGGGAAAAGGCAUAUGGGAUUGUCGCCAAUGCAAAUUAUAAGCGAUCUCCUUUUCUUAAUUUUUUCGGAUCAAUAAAUUCCAACAGAAUGUUGGAGGGUCCGUCCUUUCUUGUUGCAAGGGAGUUACCAAGCUCAUGUGAGGAAGAGAGCAGGUGGAUUUACAGUACUAUUCAUGUAAUGGAGCUGUCGAACAACAAGCGCAGACUGGAACAUGGAGAACAAAUGGUGUUAGGAAAGUCCUGCAAACGUUCAGAUGCUCCUGACGAAGGAGAAACAUGGUUGAGAGUGCAAGACCUUUCCCUUUCCCACAACCAAAUAAAUGACCAAAAUCAUGCAGGUGAUCAGUCAGAUUCAAGCUCACUUAUCCACCAACUCGGGCGGGAUAUGUCAAUUAACUGUCUCCUUCGAUGCUCGAGGUCUGAUUAUGGUUCUAUUGCCUCAGUGAAUCAGAAUUUUCGAUCUCUCAUUCGAAGUGGAGAACUAUAUAAGCUCAGGAGGCAGUUUGGUAUUAUAGAACAUUGGGUUUACUUCUCUUGCAAUCUCGUUGAAUGGGAGGCAUUUGAUCCAAACAAUGGUCGAUGGAUGCGCUUGCCUAGAUUGACUUGUAAUGAAUGCUUUAUGUGUUCUGAUAAGGAGUCACUUGCUGUUGGUACGGAACUUUUGGUGUUUGGAAAGGAGAUCAUGUCUCCUGUUAUCUACAAAUACAGCAUAUUGACAAACUCAUGGUCAUCUGCUAAAGAAAUGAAUACUCCUAGAUGCUUGUUUGGUUCAGCGAGCCUUGGUGAAAUAGCUAUCCUGGCUGGUGGUUGUGACCCACGAGGCAACAUCUUAAGUUCAGCUGAGCUUUAUAACUCUGAAACUGGCAAUUGGGAGACUCUUCCAAACAUGAACAGAGCAAGGAAAAUGUGCUCUGGUGUAUUUAUGGAUGGGAAAUUUUAUGUCAUUGGGGGGAUUGGAGUAGGCAACUCAAGACAGUUGACGUCUGGUGAGGAGUUUGAUUUGCAGACAAGGAAAUGGCGUGAAAUACCCAAUAUGUUCCCUGGUCGAUAUGGAGGGGCUGGGAUAGCCGAGGCACCGGCUGCUGCUGAGGCACCUCCUUUAAUUGCAGUUGUAAAUAAUGUAUUGUAUGCUGCAGAUUAUGCUCUACAGGAGGUAAGGAGGUAUGAUAAAGCCAGGAACUUAUGGAUCACCAUUGGUAGGCUACCUGAGCGGGCAGCUUCAAUGAAUGGUUGGGGAUUAGCUUUUCGGGCAUGUGGAGAUAGGCUAAUUGUUAUUGGUGGGCCUCGUGAUUUAAAUGUGAGGGCAAUUGAAGUUAAUGCUUGGGUCCCUGGGGAUGGCGAACCACAGUGGAACCUGCUGGCCAGCAGACAAUCAGGUAGCUUUGUGUAUAAUUGUGCUGUGAUGGGAUGCUGAAGAUUUUGGGGCUUCGUGAAUCUCUUCUGAUUGGAAUUAACAACAAUCUUCAAUUUUCUUGGAGAUGAGUUCUGGCUUAUGGGCUUAUCUUUCUCCUCAUUGAGGUGGAAGUAUCUUUAGGGCUCUUGAACGGCAAUAAGCGGUUCGUAGAUAUACUUGCAACUCUGCUAUGCAAGUUUGAAAUCAUACACUCGCUGGCCAGUUUGUAGAUACCUGGUCUCCAUAGAAUGCUUGAUCCUUUAGUUCUUGCUGUGGCUCAUGUACAUUAUUACUAAAGUGGCUUAGCUAUUGGCUUAAUCAUGAACGGUUGGUGUGUUCUUAGAGGAUGAGAAAGGUGAUAGGAUACGACUUGGAGAACCACAAAGGCAAGCAUACAUCGGGGAGUGGUGAACAGUAUGAUCUGAGUUAUUGUUGGUCCAGAUGUGGUGGGUUCGAACAGUUCUUCGAUUAUCUGCAAGAUGAUAAAGAAAUCUUUGUAGGAGACAACAUGGCAAGUACAGAUUGUACAACCACCGAAAAGGAACAAAUCAUAAUAUAUGGCCCACUCACAUGUGCUUCCCUCCCGCUUCUCCAACUUCUGCUCCUGCUCCUGCUCCCAUAGUACUUUGCCUUUGCACUUUACUUCCCCAGACUCCUUUCACUGUUAUAUUUAUCUCUUUAAAGAUAAUCUUUUUAAAGGAGUAUUCUUUAUUUAUUUUAUCAUUGAAGAUCGAUUAAAGCAACUAA